UACAAAGAUGGAGCGAGAGCUGGUCUCUCUACCCAGCAUGCUUGUGUGCUAGAGGAAGUUGUGCUCGAUUACAUUAAAAAAGAAGGGCAGCCCGUGUUGAAGAGGAUAACAGAGCGAGCAGAGGCAGGGAGAAGGACGAACGUAACAGACAGGCUCACAUACACCCACCCCAGUCCAAGAUGGCAGGAAAGCGAAGACCAGGCAGGACCCAGAACUUAACAAAACGAGCAAAAUCUGCGGGAAAAGUGUCGCUCCGUCGCGCAGACGAAGGAAGGAGCGAACAUUUCAGCCGAGUUAGGGACCAAAUGAAAUCCAGUGAAGAUGGAUGAACAAGAUGAAAGUGUUCAGUAUUUUGAAGAAGGUUAAUCUACUGAAGUCCUCGCCAUAACGUUGGAGGAGAAGGCAGAGAAGGAUCAGAACGUGAGGUGGUCCCGUAGAACAUGGGCGGUCCCGUUCAAAGGUGAAGACAGCCUGACCUCCCACAACUGAAGAGAUUCAAGUGGAGUCAACUGGUAUGUCAGCAAGAUGGCGCCUCCUUUCUGAGAUUUUUUUUGUAUUAUUGGCAUUACUUUGACAUUUGGGAAGGCUGAUUUUUCUUUUUUUUUUUACCCCUUGUAAUCGCCUUUACAUGCUAUGCCACGUUUACCCAGGUUCUGUUUUUCUGGAGAAGUACCUUAAUGAUUGUAAACCAAUCUAAAAGUGCUUGGAUGCCUUGGCCUAUAUUUUGACAAAGUGAACAGUGUUUAUGAAAGUGGUGCUUUGUUUCUUGUAUUGCUUCCAAUUCUCAGAAUUUGAUUCUGUAUUAUGUCGGUUAUUUUCAAACAAUUGGAGUGUUUUG